GCGCAGUGAUUGAAACGCAGUUUCUCGUGCGUGAGCGGGCCUGGCUGUGUUGACAGGAGUUCAUUUGCAAUUUGUCUUUAUAUUUACAAUGGGUUCGGAAGAGUAGCUUAUAGAGGUAGUCAGACAACACAGAGAACUUUAUGAUACAAAACAUCCGAACUACAUGAAAACCAAAUUAAAGACUAGGAUUUGGGGUGAAGUUGCAAAGGAGUUAAAGUCUAAAGACGAUGUACGGGGGUUUGGGCAGAAAUAAGUUUAUGGUAGCUCUACAAAUUUCAAUGAAAUUCACGGUAAAACUUCCUCAAUAAUGGAUAAUACGUCUACUUUAUUUUUGGAAAAUAAUAAAAUAAACUAGACUAAAUGCGACAAGUAACGAGAUCGAAAGUGAAAAUUAUUUUGAACUUCAGACGGAAAUAGAUGAAGCUAUUAAAACAUUAAUAGAUGACUGUGGAGGACAUGAUGAAUUAAUGUUAUUAGGCGAGAUAAAUGGCGCUUCAGAAAAUGCAUUUUCGGACCUCAACCUAGAAACUGACGGGGGAAAUAGGGUGCAAGACCUGUUGCGGAGCCUGGAACGUCAGGAAUAGUUACCAACCUACCAAGUAGUGCAAUGCGAUGACGAUGAUGAGUACUUACCAAGUGAAAGCAAAGAUGAACACCUUGAGGUCAAUAAAAAAACUAUAAAGGACAGAUUUUGAAAUCGAAGAUAGUGAAAAAGAAAAUGAGAUAUUAGUGGAAAAUAUAGAAGAGCACAUUAAAAUAAAAAAAAAUAGAAAACGAAAACCUGAUUCUGGAAGCUGGAAAAGACAAGAGUGUAAGAAUAAACGUGAAAAGGGUGAUGAAUAUGAUGGACUUAGAAAAAAUGCAGAGGGAAAGUGGAUAUUUGACGUAGCAAAACCGCCUCGUCAAAUGAAACAUUUCUGUAGCUGUAAAAUGUCGGAAAAAUCUAAGAAACUAAAAUGCCGAAAAUUCACAGAAGAAGACAGACAACACAUUUUUAAUCAAUUCUGGCAAAACAUAACUUGGCCUCAAAAGAAAACCUACAUUUCAAGCCUUGUAGACAGCACAGCUCCCAAAGAUUUAAAAAAUCAAAUCAAUGAAAUUUCAAGACGCUCUAAUACGUUUAUUUGUUAUUUAAAGAAAAAUGGUGUUUGCGAAAGAGUGUGUCAGGUCAUGUUUAUUAGCACUCUUAGUCUAGGAACUUGGUCUUUGCACAACUGGGUAACAUUAGGUAUAGAUCAUAAUACCGCUUUUCCUAAUACUUAUGUUAAUUUAACUCAGACUUAUAAAAUUAACAAUAGAAAUGAAUCAGAGAAAAUCGGAUUAAAGAACUUUUUCAUGCCAUUACCGAAAAUGGAGCUUCAUCGAGUAAAAAAUAUUUGGAGCCCAUUUGGCAGACUAAGGCUGCAUUAUACAGAAGUUAUAUUGAAUACUGUGAAACUAGGUCUAUUAAACCUCUCUCCAUAAAGUCAUUUCAUGAAGAGUUUGCUUUAAAUAACUUAAGCCUAUACGCACCCAAGAAGGAUCAAUGACCUUUGUGUCUCAUAUAAGGCGGGAAACGGUGACGAACAGAUAUAUAACCAACAUGUUUCCAGAAAAAAUAGAGCACGCGAUAAAAAAUCUACAAAUAAAAGCACAGCUCAUCGUGUUUUUACAAUGGACCCUCAAUCGGUUCUUCUUUGUCCAAUGGCUUCGAAAAUUUAUUACAAAAAAAAGUUCAUAAUUUUACUUUAUAUAAUUUAAGAACAAAAGAUGCAAAUUGCUUUCUUUGGCAUGAGGCAGAAGGAAAAGUUACCUCAAAUGAAUUUGCAACAAUUCUGUAUAAUUUCCUAGAAGAAUCCAGUAUGUGCGAAGGUGAUGAAAUAAUUUUCUAUAGUGAUGAAUGCACUGCCCAAAAUAAAAACGUAACUUUGUCAAAUGCUCUUUGGCUAUCAAUAAAAAAGGGUAUAAUUAUUACGCAAAAAUAUUUGGUAAGUGGCCAUACCCAGAUGGAGUGCGAUAGCAUGCACUCUACAAUUGAGUGAAAACUCCGCAAUAGAGAAAUUUAUUCACCUGCUGGAUAUAUUGCUGCAUGUAAAUCGGCUCGGUCAAAUCCAAAACCCUAUCAAGUUAAAUAUUUAAAUCAUAAAUAUUUUAAAAACUUUUCGGCACUUAAGUACCACACUUCCAUUCGUCCUGGCUAUAAAACAGGAGAUCCGACUGUUAAUGAUUUGUGCGCCAUUCAGUACAGGCCUAAUGGAAAAUCAUACUUCAAAUUAAAUUUUGACGAUGAUUGGACGGUAUUGGAAAAGAGGCUUAGCAGGAAAAGUCAAGGGGUUGGAGAAAUAGUUUCUCUUUAUGAAAACUCACUUCCAAUUAAAAAAAGCAAAUAUGAUCAUUUGCAACAAUUAAAAGAAGUUAUACCUGCGGACUAUCAUCUUUUUUAUGACACCCUACCAUUUGAAGCAGACUAGUUUUUAAUUUUUUGUUAAUUUUUCAAAAUAAUUUAUAUAAUGUAUAAUGUAUACCUU
rnacentral:lncRNA from 1 species